GGUGUAGCUCAGUGAUAGAACAUCUGCUUUGCAUGCAGAAGUUCCCAAGUUCAGUCCCUGACAUCUCCA